GUCUGGUUAAACAUCUACCAGCUGAACUAGGCUGGUCUGGUUAAACAUCUACCAGCUGAACUAGGCUGGUCUAGGCUGGUCUGGUUAAACAUCUACCAGCUGAACUAGGCUGGUCUAGGCUGGUCUGGUUACAAAUCCACCAAAGCUGCCAAACGGAUCAUAAAUCAAAGCCAGCGAGGUACAAGUUGGGUCAGCCCUAUGGUAGGAAUCAGGUAUUAGUGUCCUGGCUGUGUGUCACCCUCCUGAGUAGGACCCAGUACCUGGCACUCCAUACCAGACCUCAUGUUCUACCAGAUAAAUCUCCUAUAGUACCAGACCCCAUGUUCUACCAGAUUAGUCCUGCUUUAGUACCAGACCCCAAGUUCUACCAGAUUAGUCCUCCUAUAGUACCAGACCCCAUGUUCUAACAGAUUAGUCCUCCUAUAGUACCAGACCUCAUGUUCUACCAGAUAAGUCUCCUAUAGUACCAGACCCCAUGUUCUACCAGAUUAGUCCUGCUUUAGUACCAGACCCCACGAUCUACCAGAUAAGUCCUCCAUUAGUACCACAUUCUACCAGAUUAGUCCUCCUAUAGUACCAGACCCCAUGUUCUACCAGAUUAGUCCUCCUAUAGUACCAUGUUAUACCAGAUUAGUCCUCCUAUAGUACCAGACCCCUUGUUCUACCAGAUUAGUCCUCCUAUAGUACCAGACCCCAUGCUCUACCAGAUUAGUCCUCCUUUAGUACCAUGUUCUACCAGAUUAGUCCUCCUAUAGAACCAUGUUCUGCCAGAUUAGUCCUCCUAUAGUACCAUGUUCUUCCAGAUUAGUCCUCCUAUAGAACCAUGUUUUACCAGAUUAGUCCUCCUAUAGUACCAUGUUCUUCCAGAUUAGUCCUCCUUUAGUUCCAGACCCCAUGUUCUACCAGAUUAGUCCUCCUAUAGUAAGUACCAUGUUCUGCCAGAUUAGUCCUCCUAUAGAACCAUUUUCUACCAGAUUAGUCCUCCUUUAGUUCCAGACCCCAUGUUCUACCAGGUUAGUCCUCCUAUAGUACCAUGUUCUACCAGAUUAGUCCUCCUUUAGUACCCUAUUCUACCAGACUAGUCAUCCUAUCGUACCAGACCCCAUGUUCGUCCAGAUUAGUCCUCCUGUAGUACCAUGUUCCACCAGGUUAGUCCUCCUAUAGAACCAUGUUCUACCAGGUAGUCCUCCUAUAGUACCAUGUUCCACCAGAUUAGUCCUCCUAUAGAACCAUUUUCUACCAGAUUAGUCCUCCUAUAGUACCAUAUUCUACCAGAUUAGUCCUCCUAUAGAACCAUCUUCUACCAGAUUAGUCCUCCUUUAGUUCCAGACCCCAUGUUCUACCAGGUUAGUCCUCCUAUAGUACCAUGUUCUACCAGAUUAGUCCUCCUUUAGUACCCUGUUCUACCAGACUAGUCCUCCUAUCGUACCAGACCCCAUGUUCGUCCAGAUUAGUCCUCCUGUAGUACCAUGUUCUACCAGGUUAGUCCUCCUAUAGAACCAUGUUCUACCAGGUUAGUCCUCCUAUAGAACCAUGUUCUACCAGAUUAGUCCUCCUAUAGUACCAUGUUCUACCAGAUUAGUCCUCCUAUAGUACCAUGUUCUACCAGAUUAGUCCUCCUAUAGUACCAGACCCCAUGUUCUACCAGGUAGUCCUCCUAUAGUACCAUGUUCCACCAGAUUAGUCCUCCUAUAGAACCAUUUUCUACCAGAUUAGUCCUCCUAUAGUACCAUAUUCUACCAGAUUAGUCCUCCUAUAGAACCAUCUUCUACCAGAUUAGUCCUCCUUUAGUUCCAGACCCCAUGUUCUACCAGGUUAGUCCUCCUAUAGUACCAUGUUCUACCAGAUUAGUCCUCCUUUAGUACCCUGUUCUACCAGACUAGUCCUCCUAUCAUACCAGACCCCAUGUUCGUCCAGAUUAGUCCUCCUGUAGUACCAUGUUCUACCAGGUUAGUCCUCCUAUAGAACCAUGUUCUACCAGAUUAGUCCUCCUUUAGUUCCAGACCCCAUGUUCUACCAGACUAGUCCUCCUAUCGUACCAGACCCCAUGUUCGUCCAGAUUAGUCCUCCUUUAGUACCCUGUUCUACCAGACUAGUCCUCCUAUCGUACCAGACCCCAUGUUCUACCAGAUUAGUCCUCCUUUACUACCAUGUUCUACCAGAUUAGUCCUCCUAUAGAACCAUGUUCUACCAGAUUAGUCCUCCUAUAGAACCAUGUUCUACCAGAUUAGUCCUACUAGGUAUUGGAUGAAAGAAAAACCAUAUCUGGUGUGUAUGGUGCUGUGUGGAAACAGUGGAUUAUCUAGUGUGUAUGGUGCUGUGUGGAAACAGUGGAUUAUCUAGUGUGUAUGGUGCUGUGUGGAAACAGUGGAUUAUCUAGUGUGUAUGGUGCUGUGUGGAAACAGUGGAUUAUCUAGUGUGUAUGGUGCUGUGUGGAAACAGUGGAUUAUCUAGUGUGUAUGGUGCUGUGUGGAAACAGUGGAUUAUCUGGUGUGUAUGGUGCUGUGUGGAAAUAGUGGAUUAUCUAUGAGUGUGUAUGGUGCUGGUAUGGUGUGUAUGGUGCUGUGUGGAAACAGUAGAUUAACUAGUGUGUAUGGUGCUGUGUGGAGACAGUGGAUUAUCUAGUGUGUAUGGUGCUGUGUGGAGACAGUGGAUUAUCUAGUGUGUAUGGUGCUGUGUGGAAACUGUAAAUGAUCUAGUGUGUAUGGUGCUGUGUGGAAACUGUGGAUUAUCUAGUGUGUAUGGUGCUGUGUGGAAACAGUGGAUUAUCUAGUGUGUAUGGUGCUGUGUGGAAAUAGUGGAUUAUCUAGUGUGUAUGGUGCUGUGUGGAAACUGUGGAUUAUCUAGUGUGUAUGGUGCUGUGUGGAAACUGUGGAUUAUCUAGUGUGUAUGGUGCUGUGUGGAAACUGUGGAUUAUCUAGUGUGUAUGGUGCUGUGUGGAAACUGUGGAUUAUCUAGUGUGUAUGGUGCUGUGUGGAAACUGUGGAUUAUCUAGUGUGUAUGGUGCUGUGUGGAAACAGUGGAUUAUCUAGUGUGUAUGGUGCUGUGUGGAAAUAGUGGAUUAUCUAGUGUGUAUGGUGCUGUGUGGAAACUGUGGAUUAUCUAGUGUGUAUGGUGCUGUGUGGAAACUGUGGAUUAUCUAGUGUGUAUGGUGCUGUGUGGAAACUGUGGAUUAUCUAGUGUGUAUGGUGCUGUGUGGAAACUGUGGAUUAUCUAGUGUGUAUGGUGCUGUGUGGAAACUGUGGAUUAUCUAGUGUG